UUCUAAGAAUUCUAAGAAGAAUCAUCUUAGUGAUGGCACGUGGGUACAAAAAAAUGUUGUAAUGCUUCUGAAUUAAUAUAUAAAAGAUAAAUAAUUAGAUGAAAUAAUAUUAAGUAAUCUAAAAAUAAUAAUAUUAUAUGUAUCUAAGUCUAUAUUAAAUCAAACAUGUUCAAUAGGUUUAAAAAAAAAAUGUUACGGACCCUAAAUUAAUAUACUAUUAUUAUAUAUCUUUAUAUAUAAAGUUGACUCGUGUGAUGCAUACCGUCCUUGGGGCUUUUUUUGACACGUGUCGGUUCGGUAGGGCGUCUGUGUAGCCCACGCUCUCCCUUCUUUGCGAGCGCGUCGUGAUGCUUACUCUGCUGCGCGUUUGUCACACGAGGUUGGCUUUCUGAAGAUUUAUGCCCAAGUGUGACAAGAGAACUGGGUUUCCUUUUUCCGUAGGCCCAUUAAAGUAGAAAAACUCAUUUCCCAGAAGCUCUUCGCCUCCAUCGUCUUCUUGACUUAUCCUACCUUUUUGAAACCAUCGAAAUCACUCCUAUCUUCCACUCCACUCAGCUCAAUGUUUUUUGUUUCUUUAGCUCAUCGCAUAAAAUUGGAUUUGUAACAUUUGAUUGUUUUCUUAUUGUUGCAGUCCACGCUAAUUAAGGGGACCAGCUGUUUAUGUCUGUGUUUUUGAUGGUCUGGUCUCAGCUGUUGAGACGAAGGUGUUCGUCGCAACUAACGUCAAUUAUACUAUAAGUUUGUCGGAGAUCGUCUCUUCCUAAACAAUACGACAAAAACCCAUUUUACCUUUGACAAAUAAUGUGUUGUUGGACAAAAAUGCAUUUUUACUUAGCCUGCUUCUAUGCAGUUACUUUAAGCUUUAGUAAAGGUGAACUAGCAGACUCACCAGUAGUGGUUGUAUAACACAAACUCAUACAUCUUCUUGGGUCGAUGAAAACCUACACCAGGUCAGAUAUCUGAAAGCCUAAACUUUUUUACGUAUCUGAAUCCAUUAUCGUUUCCGGAACCUAAGAGAAAAGGGUUUCACUUUUAACCCAAGAGAAGCCAAUUAUCAUAUAUUGUAUGUCAAAGAUACCAGUGGGAUAUUUUGUUCUGGUUUGCUUAUACUAGCAGCCAUACUUUUUUCUUUAAGCUCUUUUUUUUAUCAAUUGUUGUGCAUAAUUUGAAGGCACUGCAUACUUGAGAAAAGCUGCAUUAUACAAUGCAGCAAAUGUUUUUCUGUUAUCCCUAUUAUGUGAUCCCUCUUAUGUGUCACUUUACUUAUCUCUUGGUUGUUGACUAGGUGAAAACAUGGUCCUAUUUUUGAACAUGUUCUGCAGCAGCAUAAAGCUGGAGCUGGUGCACAAAGUCCAAAUGCAAUGCCAUGAGGAUGCAAUUUUUCCCAGAAAUAGUGAGGUCAUGACCUUUAGUCCUCGCUGAAGGCACCAUCCUCCAUUUGUUUUGAAAAGGAAUCUACUCAAAAGGACAGGUUAGUUCCAUAACAUUAUGUACAAACACUUCAUCAGGCAACCUGGUUUCAAACAAAAAUUAUUCGGUCUCAGAGCAUUUGGGUUGACGUUUGUGAAUGUUGCAGCAAAACCUUUGUGAAAAGCCUACAGCCAUUUUCUUCUGCACUCUGCUCUGUAUUUUUGUUUCUUUUCUACAGUCAAUAAUUUUAGAGUUCUAACUAUUCUAUCUAUCUUUAAACUCUAUUGCUUCUGAUGUUUUUGCUGCAGUCUUCUUUUACUGAUGUUUUGGCAGUAGUAUACAUUUGAUACUGUGUUUCCUUUUCAGUUGACUAUUUGUUAGUUUCUGACUUUGUAUAUCAGUUUUAAGUUGACGAUUCAUGGUAAAGCAUAUUAGAAACUGCCUCAUGUAAAGUUAA